CGGAGGUGAACCCAGGCGUAGCAUCGAUCGCACGACGGGUUCGGGAGUGACGGGUCCGAAGAGCCGACAGGGAUGAGAG
rnacentral:sRNA from 1 species